rnacentral:misc_RNA from 1 species
UUUGUUUUUAUAAAAUUUAUUGCUAAUUGGUGUAGUUCUUUUGUUUAAUAUGCACUUAAAAUAUGAUAUUUUCAAGAUCUUUAUAUUAUUAUUUAUAGAGAUUUUUUUCUCAUUAAAUUUGUAUUACUGUCGCUCAAUUCCUAAUGAACUAAAGUUUGAUUGUAUACCCAAAGGAAAGUCUGAUGAAAUAAUCUGCAAACAAAUUAACUGUUCCUGGACACCAGUUGAGCAAUCUUUUACUGAAUGGCCAUGGUGUUACUAUCCAGAAUGUUACAAUAAUUAUAAUACAAUUAAUAUAUCGAAGACAAGUACUGGAAUAGUAGCAUUUUAUAAUUUAUCAGUGAAUUCUAAUUACAAAAAAAAUAUCCAAAUUUUGCGACUGGAUGUUAUUUUUGAAACAUCACAAAGAUUACGAAUUACGAUUGAUGAUGCAAUUCAAAUACGUUAUAAACCACCCUUUCCAAAAAUUAACGAGUUUAAAGGAAAACCAAUUCAAAAAAAUGAUACUUUUAUAAUAUCUGAUUUUAUUGUACGACUUUCGAAGAAUGGAGUUGGAUUUGCAAUUAUUCGUAAGGUGGAUGAUACAGUUCUGUUUGAUAGUCGAAAUAUUGGAGGUUUUAUAUUUUCUGAUCAAUUUAUUCAAUUGUCAGCUUUACUACCCUCGAAGUAUAUUUAUGGACUGGGAGAGCAUAGAACUAAUUUAGUCUUAAAUUCAAAUUGGAAAACAUAUACACUGUUUAAUCAUGACAGUACUCCAAAACCUGACAUAAACGGCUAUGGCUCACAUCCGUUUUAUUUAUUAAUGGAAAAAUCUGGGAAGAGUCAUGGAGUAUUUUUAUUUAAUAGCAAUGCUAUGGAUAUUAUAUUACAGCCUGCGCCUGCAAUUACAUAUCGUGUUAUUGGUGGAAUCUUAGAUUUUUAUUUUUUUUCUGGACCAACACCUUCAGAUGUUAUUACUCAGUAUACUGAAAUUAUCGGCAGACCAUUUUUACCACCUUAUUGGUCUUUAGGUUUUCAUAUGAGCCGAUUUGGGCAGACUUUUGAAGAUCUUGUUCAAGUUUAUAAUAGGACUAUAGAAGCUGGUAUUCCUUGGGAUACUCACUGGAAUGACAUUGAUUAUAUGAAUAAUAAAGAUGACUUCACACUUUCCAACAAUUUUAAGCAACUACCAGAAUAUGUGAAUAAUUUACAUAAGAACGGAAUGCACCAUAUAGUUAUUUUAGAUCCAGGUAUCAAAUCACGACAAUCAAAUGGAACAAUUUAUGUUCCUUUAAAAGAUGGUCUUAAUGACAAUAUUUUUAUAAAAAACUCUGCUGGUCAACCAUUAGAAGGAAAAGUUUGGAAUAACAUUGGAACAGUAUUUCCUGAUUUUACACAUCCAAAAGCAACCCAAUACUGGAAAAACCAGAUUUUAAAUUUUUAUAAUAUUGUAAAAUUUGAUGGGUUAUGGUUGGAUAUGAAUGAACCAGCUAAUUUUGUCAAUGGUGAUUUUAAUGGGUGUUCAUCUUUUAAAUCUGAUCACUGGGAAUUACCUCAAUAUAUUCCCGGUAUAGUCGGUGGUCAAUUGAACUACAAAACUAUUUGCAUGUCUGCAAGUCAUUUCGCUGGUAUUCAUUAUGAUUUGCAUAAUUUAUAUGGACUUGUUGAAACUAUAUCCACUUACGAUGCAUUGUCAGAAGUAAAAAAUACUAGACCUUUUAUAAUUUCUCGAUCUUCUUUUCCUGGUUUUGGACAUUAUGCUGGUCACUGGACUGGAGACAUAAACUCUUCAUGGGAUGAUAUGAAACAGUCCAUAACAGAUAUAAUAAAUUUUAAUUUAUUUGGCAUUCCCCUAGUCGGUGCAGAUAUAUGUGGUUUUCAUCACGAUACUACUGUUGAGUUGUGCUCAAGGUGGAUUCAAUUGGGAGCAUUCUAUCCAUUUUCUAGGAAUCAUAACGGCCAAUACAUGAAAGACCAAGAUCCAGUAGCUUUAGGAUCAAAUGUUAUAGUAUCUGCAAAAAAUUCAUUGAUAACUAGGUAUUAUCUAUUGCCAUAUUUGUAUUCACUGUUUUGGAAAGCUCAUGUUUAUGGAGAAACUGUUGUUCGACCUUUGUUUUUUGAGUAUCCAUCUGAUGAAAAUACAUAUGCCAUAGACACACAGUUUCUAUGGGGUGCAGCCUUACUGAUCUUGCCAGUCUUAAAAGAAAAAAAUCAUCAAGUGUAUGUAUAUCUUCCUAAAGAUAUAUGGUAUGAUUUUUACAAUAAUACUGCGAUAUUAAGCAAAGGAAGUUAUUUUUUCAUAACAGCUCCAACCCACACAAUACCUUUACUGGUGCGAGGGGGUUAUAUUUUACCAACACAAAUGCCCGCCUUAACUACAACAUUAAGUCGUCAAAAUCACUUUGAACUUUUAGUAGCUCCUAAACACAACCAAGCAACUGGUUUUUUAUUUUUUGACGAUGGAGAGUCUUUAGAUGCCUGGAAAAAUAAAUCAUUCAACAAAGUUCAAUUUAAACUUGAUAAAACUAAAUUUUCUAGUAUAGUAGAGAUGAAUGGUUAUAUUGAUGACAACUUUGUGUUACAAAAUAUUACUGUACUUGGAAUCAAAGAAGGACCAACCAAUUCACAAGUUAAUGGAAUUCCAUUCAAUAGUUAUUACUUCAAUAAAACCAAACAAGUUUUAUACUUCAAAAUGUUAAACUUAGAUCUAAGGAUGCCAUUCAAUUUAACAUGGUAAAUUAUGAACAUCAAUAAUGAACAAAUUUCCAUCUACAAAGUACUAAAUUAUGUAAAAUAAAUGUUGAAUAAUAACCACAAAUGAACCAGUUAUAAAAAUUAGAAACUAUAGACCAGUAACAUUGAUGGAUUUACCCUUCUGAUGCCUCGAAUUAAAUAGUAUACAAAAGAGAUGGUUUUAAAUUUAUUUGAUUUUUGUAAAUACAUGUAAUUUUCUACCCAUAAAAUAUAAAUGCAAUUGAUUAAAUUACAAUUUUUUUU